GACGAACGCUGGCGGCGUGCUUAACACAUGCAAGUCGAACGGUGAAGCUCCAGCUUGCUGGAGUGGUUCAGUGGCGAACGGGUGAGUAACACGUGAGCAACCUGCCCUUGACUCUGGAAUAAGCGCUGGAAACGGCGUCUAAUACUGGAUACGAGAAGGGUCCGCAUGGGCACUUUCUGGAAAGUUGUUCGGUUGGGGAUGGGCUCGCGGCCUAUCAGCUUGUUGGUGAGGUAAUGGCUCACCAAGGCGUCGACGGGUAGCCGGCCUGAGGGGGCGACCGGCCACACGGGGACUGGGACACGGCCCGGACUCCUACGGGAGGCAGCGGUGGGGAAUAUUGCACAAGGGGCGAAAGCCGGAUGCGGCGACGCCGCGUGGGGAAGGACGGCCUUCGGUUGGAAAACCUCUUUCAGCAGGGAAGAAGCUAAAGUGACGGUACCGGCAGAGGAAGCACGGGCUAACUACGG
rnacentral:rRNA from 1 species